rnacentral:rRNA from 1 species
UACGGAGGGUGCAAGCGUUAAUCGGAAUUACUGGGCGUAAAGCGUGCGCAGGCGGUUUUGUAAGCCAGAUGUGAAAUCCCCGGGCUUAACCUGGGAAUGGCAUUUGGGACUGCAAGGCUUGAGUGCGGCAGGGGAGACUGGAAUUCCUGGUGUAGCAGUGAAAUGCGUAGAUAUCAGGAGGAACACCGAUGGCGAAGGCAGGUCUCUGGGCUGACACUGACGCUCAUGCACGAAAGCGUGGGGAGCAAACAGG